ACGAAACGCUGGCGGGCGUGCCUAACACACGCAAGUUCGAGCGAUGAAGCCCUUCGGGGUGGAUUAGCGGCGGACGGGUGGAGUAAACACGUGGGUAACCUGCCUCAAAGAGGGGGAUAGCCUCCCGAAAGGGAGAUUAAUACCGCAUAACAUUAGUUUUUUCGCAUGAAGAACUAAUUAAAGGAGUAAUCCGCUUUUGAGAUGGAACCCGCGGCGCAAUUAGCUAGUUGGUGAGGUAAAGGCCUCACCAAGGCGACGAUGCGUAGCCGACCUGAGAGGGUGAUCGGCCACAUUGGAACUGAGACACAGUCCAGACUCCUACGGGAGACAGCAGUGGGGAAUAUUGCACAAUGGGCCGAAAGCCUGAUGCAGCAACGCCGCGUGAGUGAUGAAGGCCUUCGGGUUGUAAAGCUCUGUCUUUUGGGACGAUAAUGACGGUACCAAAGGAGGAAGCCACGGCUAACUUACGUGCCAGCAGCCGCGGUAAUACGUAGGUGGCGAGCGUUGUCCGGAUUUACUGGGCGUAAAGGAUGCGUAGGCGGAUAUUUAAGUGAGAUGUGAAAAUACCCGGGCUUAACUUGGGUGCUGCAUUUCAAACUGGAUAUCUAGAGUGCGGGAGAGGAGAAUGGAAUUCCUAGUGUUAGCGGUGAAAUGCGUAGAGAUUAGGAAGAACACCAGUGGCGAAGGCGAUUCUCUGGACCGUAACUGACGCUGAGGCAUGAAAGCGUGGGUAGCAAACAGGAUUAGAUACCCUGGUAGUCCACGCCGUAAACGAUGAGUACUAGGUGUAGGAGGUAUCGACUCCUUCUGUGCCGCAGUUAACACAAUAAGUACUCCGCCUGGGAAGUACGAUCGCAAGAUUAAAACUCAAAGGAAUUGACGGGGGCCCGCACAAGCAGCGGAGCAUGUGGUUUAAUUCGAAGCAAACGCGAAGAACCUUACCUGGACUUGACAUCCCCUGAAUAGUGCAGAGAUGCAUGAAGCCCUUCGGGGCAGGGAGACAGGUGGUGCAUGGUUGUCGUCAGCUCGUGUCGUGAGAUGUUAGGUUAAGUCCUGCAACGAGCGCAAACCCUUAUCAUUAGUUGCUACCAUUAAGUUGAGCACUCUAGUGAGACUGCCCGGGUUAACCGGGAGGAAGGUGGGGAUGACGUCAAAUCAUCAUGCCCCUUAUGUCCAGGGCUACACACGUGCUACAAUGGUGAGUACAGAGAGAUGCAAGACCGCGAGGUGGAGCCAAACUCAAAAAACUCAUCCCAGUUUCGGAUUGUAGGCUGCAACUCGCCUACAUGAAGCCGGAGUUGCUAGUAAUCGCGAAUCAGAAUGUCGCGGUGAAUACGUUUCCCGGGCCUUGUACACACCGCCCGUCACACCAUGAGAGCUGGCAACACCCCGAAGUCCGUGAGGUAACCUGUAAAGGAGCCAGCGGCCGAAGGUGGGGUUAGUGAUUGGGGUG
rnacentral:rRNA from 1 species